GCCCUGGUGGCUUAGUGGCUAAAGCACUUGGCUGUUAACCAAGAGGUCUGUGGUUCAAACCCUCCAGGCU
rnacentral:tRNA from 1 species